rnacentral:rRNA from 1 species
GAUUCGGCUGGGCGGUCUGCCUCACGGUAUGUACUGUCCGGCUGGGUCUUACCUCUUGGUGAGCCGGCGUGCCCUUUAUUGGUGUGCGUCGGGGAACCAGGACUUUUACCUUGAGAAAAUUAGAGUGUUCAAAGCAGGCCUAUGCCUGAAUACAUUAGCAUGGAAUAAUAAAAUAGGACGUGUGGUUCUAUUUUGUUGGUUUCUAGAAUCGCCGUA